rnacentral:lncRNA from 1 species
CCACUUUCAAAUGAAUUUUCGAGUCUUCAACAUUGACCAAGCAACCAUUAAACUUCACGUCGCAUUGGCAUACUUUUGUUUCGAUUAUAGCUGCUGCAAGAUCAACUAAAGCAAUUUUGAUCCUUGUGAAGCAGUCUUUGAGUGCAAGCAUUUCACUAUUGUCAAUUUUGGGAAGAAAAAUGCAUAUAAAAGAGAUUACACAUUAGCUCAAGUAAUAUUCGAUUGUCCAGACCAACAUUGAAAAGAAGAUAAAAAGAUAAUGUAAGUAUUUAACCUGAAUAUGGAAAAAAAAUUUAAGAAAAGGUCAAAUUUUCAAUUUGUACUUUUUGUUACUCCCCUGUUAUUGUGGAUGAUAUUCCUAAAAGAUAAUGCAAGCAUUCUUUACACUAGAAAAUCCAUGGCCCACCAUCAUAAAAGGUAAUGCAAUGAAUAGUUUCAACCAUCUCUAAUGAAAUCCCAUGAACAUUAUACACUAAAGAGAAUAAUAAGAUCUGAAUUUUCUUACAUUUAAGCCAAGUAGCACUUAAAAAUCUUCGAGAGCACAAAGCUAUAACAGGUUCAUAUAUAUUAAAAUUAACACUAGACAAUAAAGUGUAAAAAGUGAAAUUCUUAUCUCUGAUAAGCACCCAAAACAAGUGCAGUAGGGUGAAUUUUUCCAUUUUCAAAUUUUCAUUGCUAAUUCAACUAUUAAGAGACUGAAACAUAUGGAAUAAGAAACAUAUUCAACCCAAAAGAUUAUUCAACUUAGAUGACUCAAUAUAUACUUAAUAAGCUUAUGAGCCUUUUUUAAAGAAUAUUAUAAGAUUCCAUAAUUCCAAGGAAUCAAAGUAAAAUUAUAAUAUUCUUUAAGUAGGAGAUACACUUAUUCAGUUAAGUAAGAGAUACACUUACUUGAGUUGAUUUUUAUUUUGGUCAUGUUUCUUUCUUUUCUAUUCCCAUUUAUCUCAUAUUUCUUGUUCUACAUCAACUAGUAAUACCAGCCAAAAAUAAGGAGUUAAAGAACUAUUUUGCAUCAGUUAUACAAAGAACUAUAAUACAGUAUUAUACAUCCCAUAGAAAAGCUAAAAUAACAAUGAAGCACCAUUCAUACCUCCAAAUCUAGCAUUUGAAAACAUUAGAAAUGAAUAGAGGUGGCAAAAAACCCACCUAGACCGGAUCCGGCCCAGACCCGGCGUAUACGGUCCGGGUAAAACCCGGACCGGAUGUAUGGAAAAAGCGGAUCCGGGCAUUGAUUUUCAAUGCCCGGCUGCUUCUGGGCUCGAGUCCGGUCACAGCACCAAGAACUCGGAACCCGGACCCGUGCCUGAUUUUUUAUUAAGUAAAAAAAAGGAAAAUAUAAUAGCGAAAAAACAUUUUGCUUUGCCCAAUUGCCCCAAAACCCAACCCUAAAUCACGACUCGCGAUUGAACGCAACACACAAACUGAAAUCUCUUAACCUUGGCAGUUGGCGCCUCCCUCCGUCUCUCCACCAGCAACCACCACCCACCGGCACCGAUGAAGUGUUGACCGUACCUCUAGCCCUCUACGAACCUCUUACCUCCCUCGGUCAAUUCUUUUCAUUUCGCGCAAAACACAGCUGUCACAGAGCUCUCCACCGUUUGGUCAUCUUCUCAGCGGCAACCACCGCACGACAGCGUCAGCCAUCAUAGUUGGUCUCACUCCAUUGUUUUGUCACCUUAUCAGCUGCAACUUCGCCAUCACAACCACGACCUACGAGUUAUUAUCUUUUUUUUGGCUGUUUUUUCAAAACAAAAUGAUGAAAUUGAGUAAUUGACAUUAUUAUUGUUAGGUGUUAUAUAUAUAUGCUUAAUGUUUUUCUUGGAUGCUAUGGUUGUAUGAUUAUUUUUAAUUAAUGGGAGCUGAAUUUAGAUUUUAAGUUGCUUUAACAGUUUAAAUCAAUUACUUAAUAUUUAUAAUUAUGUAAUUUGUAUGAUAUAAUGAUAAUUUUUUUAUUAAUAGAAGUUGAAUUUAGUGUUUAGGUUGCUUUUAAGUUAAUUUGUUACAUAAUAUUUGUAAUUAUGUAAUUUUUAUGAUUAUUUUUUAUUAAUAGGAAUUGAAUUUAGAUUUAGGUUGCUUUAACUUAAUUUGUUGUAUAACAUUCAUAAUUAUGUAAUUUGUAUGAUAUUUUUUUAUUAAUAGGAGCUAAUUUUAGCAUUUAGGUUGCUUUUAAGUUAAUUUUGUUACAUAAUAUUAUAACUAUGCAAUUUCUAUGAUUAUUUAUAAUUAUUUAUAAUUUUUUCUAUAAUAAACAGCAGUACGAUGUCACAGUCAAACAAUAUAGAAAUUAAUUCAUCAAACGCUCCAAAUUUAUCCCUUAAUGUUGAAGAUAGCAAUGAUAAUGGGUUGAGGAAAUUUCAUUGUUAACUGUUAAAGAUAAGAAGGGAAAGAAAGUCUAUAACACUUGAGAUCUACAAAAGUAACUAUUACUGGAGAACAAAAGGCAAAGUGCAUACACUGUAAUGAAAUUUUAGAAGCCAAAUACACAUUAAGGACCACGAGCUUGAACAGACACGUGAAAUCUUAUUUUUCUAAGAAUCAACCGAAAAUGGAGGAAGCACCUUCAAGGAAGUCUCAAAAUGCUAAAAAAAAAGGAUGGGAGUUGUGACAUUGGCUUCGACAGUUUCGAUCCAAAUGUUUUGCGGAGUUUGAUUGCAAGAAUGGUGGUAAUGCAUGAGCUUCCACUUAGAUUUGUGGAAUAUAAAGGCUUUAGAGAAAUGAUGGCACAUGCCAACUCCGUGGUUAAGCCAAUGAGUAGAAAUACUUUGAAGAAUGAGAUUUUGAAACUGUAUCAUAUUGAGAAGGUUAAGACUUUUCAUUUAUUGGAGAAAAAUCAUGGUAGAGUGGCUAUUACUACGGAUUUAUGGACAACAAGUAACCAGAAAAAUGGAUACAUGGUUGUAACAACACAUUUCAUAGGCCUUCUUUGCUCAUUUUGGAUUUUAUAAAAGUAAAGACUUGAAACAAUUGUUUUGGUUUUGGACAAUGUUACCGGUUUGUUAGUUAAAAGUAAACUUUUAUGUAUGCUUGAAGUUAAAGCAUGAGGGAUACCUCCGCCCAGUGCUUUGAAAAUGCGGGCAGAGAAAACCCAGGAAAAAGCCCGUGCCCGGAUAGUGCCGGGCAUAUGCCCAGCCCGCAUAGGAAAAAUUCGGGCACUGUCCAGGUCCGAGCAGCUAUGUGUGUCAUCUGGGCCAGUCCCGAGCAGCCCCAAACCUGGACUUUUGCCAACCCUAGAAAUGAAGGAAUCUACCAACAAAGAACCCAGUUGGAGAAAGCCAUGAAGAUGCAACUAAAAGCUAAAUGAUGUAAGGGAAGGAAAUAUAUUUCGAAAGAACUCCAAAUUGAAAUCAGGAAGUGACAGAAACUUACCCCCAUUAUAGAACAAAGCCAUUUUAAUCGUUUAACAAAACCGAAUCCCUAUAUUGAAACCAUAAAUUGCACCAAGCAUAGCACUAAAACCAAAGUUGGACUAUAAAGAAAGAGGAAAAAUGUGGGAAAAAAAGAAUUAUUACAACAUGAAAUUGGACUUUUGUUUAAUCUUCCAUUUAGAAAUCUUACAAAAUCACACCCAAAUUUCAAAAAGACUUUUAAAUAUAAAUGUACAAUGAAGUAGAGUACAAAAAUUGACUUAAAAAAAUAGAGCAGAAAGAGUAGAUAUACCAUUUCUAGCCCAUAAUUGGGGCUUAACCUCAAUGCACUGACGAAUCAAGAUGUGAAGCUUGGGGUUUAAGGUCUUCAAAUCCUUGUAAAGCAUGCACAAAUGCAAGCCAAUAAUGUACAAAUACUCGAACCAACAAAUUGUCUUAAUCAAGAUCUCAGAUGCAAUGCAACUUAUCAUGUAUUCACCAAAACUUUAAGACUCCUUUUAACAUAAUCUCGUUGACUUAUCAGAAUGAAAAAGCACAUAUAAUGUGAAGGCAACAAAUCAUAUUCAAGUUAACAUGUACGUAAGAUUCAAGUGUGACUUGACCAAUUCCAUCAAAAUCCUAACCAAGCAAACUCAGCACCAAGAAUCAAUAAGGACAACACAAAGUAACAAAAGAAAUCCUUAACCCUAAUCAUCAAUUAACAACAUUCCCAAGUAUAUACCUACCUAAUUUCAGUCUAAGCAAACAUAAAUUCAGCAAAAUAUCAAAUUAACAAAAUUACCAAGAUAACCAAUUCAUAUAAUGAAUUAGACGAAAUGAAAUGUAUAAAUGAAUGGGUUAAUGUGGAGGAAGAGUAAAAUGCCAUAAUUGCCCCCAAAAAGAUCAUUGAAGGGAAAGUAAAGAACAAGAGAACAAAGUGGUCAAAACGAUAUGUGCCGUCAAGAUUCCGUAAACUUUGCAAAUGAAACCCCAUCGUAGCUAAUUCUCACCUUAGCAGAGAUUGGGGUAAAGCCUCUCCCCAUCUCCGCCUUCCAAAUCUACCUCAAAUUUAUCAUCAUCUUUGCUCCUCACGCUCUCCCAGCCCAACAUCUUCCAAGCGAUUUUGAUUUUUUAAUUUAGAUAAAGCAAGCAAUGAACAGGAAAUGGCAGCGCUUGAGUGAUGGCCAUUAAGUGAAGAACUAGCGUAUGUUGAGUGAUUGGUAGCUUGCAUUGAUUGUUGACUGAUGGCUAUUGAGUUUGUUGGCUUAGAGUUUCCAUUAUUUGUCCCUAUAAGCACUUAAAUUAAGAAAUUUUGUAAGGCUUAAGCUGAUUUGUAAUGUAGAGUGUGAGUGAUUAUAGUGAGGCUUAGGGUUAGGGUUCAAUUCAUUCAACAAUUAUAGAAGAGCAAAGGAGCAAUAGUUGGUUGCCAGGGAGCAGAGCUUGGGGUUCAAUUCGUUCAUCAGUUCUGAAAAGUGUACGGAAUCUAUUUAUUUACAAAAACAAAACGACAUCAUUUUUGUACUUUUUAAUUUUUAAAAAUAAAUUAAAUAUUAACGUCAUGAGAGUAUCAAU